GCACAAGCGGUGGAUGAUGUGGUUAAUUCGAUGCAACGCGAAAACCUUACCACCUUGACAUGUACGGAAUCCUUAGAGAUAGAGGAGUGCUCGAAAGAGAACCGUAACACAGGUGCUGCAUGGCUGUCGUCAGCUCGUGUCGUGAGAUGUUGGGUUAAGUCCCGCAACGAGCGCAACCCUUGUCAUUAGUUGCUACAUUCAGUUGGGCACUCUAAUGAGACUGCCGGUGACAAACCGGAGGAAGGUGGGGAUGACGUCAAGUCCUCAUGGCCCUUAUAGGUGGGGCUACACACGUCAUACAAUGGAUGGUACAAAGGGUCGCCAACCCGCGAGGGGGAGCCAGUCCCAUAAAGCCAUUCGUAGUCCGGAUCGCAGUCUGCAACUCGACUGCGUGAAGUCGGAAUCGCUAGUAAUCGUGGAUCAGAAUGUCACGGUGAAUACGUUCCCGGGUCUU
rnacentral:rRNA from 1 species